GAGGAGACCCAUAGAUUUAAGAUUUGAGAAGAUAUGGUCGAGAAAUAAAAGGUGUCUGGUUCCUUUGACACUCUCACGGGCGUGAGAAGUUCUCAAACUUAUAACCUAUGGUAUGGAGGAGACCCAUAGAUUUAAGAUUUGAGAAGGUAUGGUCGAGAAAUAAAAGGUGUCUGGUUCCUUUGAGAAGUUCUCAAACUUAUAGCCUAUGGGUGGAGGAGACCCAUAGAUUUAAGAUUAGAGAAGGUAUGGUCGAGAAAUAAAAGGUCGGUGUACUGCCUACCGACUAUCACGGUCACGAAAACCGGAGAACUCCGCUUGGCUCUCCGGGACGAUGUGGACGAGCUGUGAGAAAUGCGUGGUACAUCGGAUUCCCUCUGAGUACAGUGCUGAGGAGUUAAUGCUCAUGUAAAGUCACAGGCAGCGAAGCGGUCGGAAGGCGGGGGAUCGUUGAGCCCGAUCACUCGUCCAGUCACCGCACACUUUCGUACGAUCCAAGACGCGAGACGGUGGAGAACGGUAGGCAGGGGAUCAUUUAGCCCACAGUUCUCUCUCUAGAAGGCAACGAAGCGGUCGGAAGGCGGGGGAUUGUUGAGCCCGAUCUCUCGUCCAGUCACCGCGCACUUUCGUACGAUCCAAGACUCGAUGGAGAUGGUGGAGCGAGGCCGACCCGGGGACGAAAACGGGGUGUGGAGAACUCCGCUUGGAUUUCUGGGACGAGGUGGACAUGGAUGUUCCAGCUUUCACAAGACGAUGGCUUCAUGGUAGUUGUUCUGUGGAUUUUUAAUGCCGUUAACGUAAAUUGCAAAUUUCUCAUGAGUCCAGUAAAGAUAACCUUGUAUAACGUGUUUCUAUGAUAAACUUAGAUGUAUUGUUGAUAGUGGGGUCUAGAGAGUUUACGGAUACAGUGACGGCGCCGGUUAAAGUACAUAUACUGUAAUUGGAUGCAGUCUGGAAAUUUAGAAUGUACAGAACGUGAAACUGAAUAAUCCUCCUCUCUUACAUGAUCGUGGGGACGCAGAGCAUAUUAUACAUGGAGGUAUUGUACAGUCAAUGCAAUUGAUGAGGACCACAACAAUGUUAAGGCGCCGAAUGAUCAAUACGAUGAUGAUUACCACGGUUAUAGGACACAGACAGGGGAGGUAUUAAUAGCAU